AAUAAUAGAUUUUGAUAUUGAAAAACAUAUCGAGCCUAAAAACAUGGUAACAUCAGCUCAAAAAGGCACCUGCAACCCUCUUUAUGUAGACAGACAUGUCCACCAUAUGGCCUAUGGAGUAUGACUUUUCAGGUUGCAAAUUGGCAGUGGGUGAGUGAGGAGAAACACUGCCCCUUUCCCCAGGGCUGACUGCACUUUGCACCAAUGUUCUGAUGUCCCAAGGUGUUCUGAUGUCCCACAGUGUUCUGAUGUCCCAAGGUGUUCUGAUGUCCCAAGGCUGAUGUCAACAUUUCGUUACCUUGCUGCGAAGCCCAACUUGAAGACUACGUUAAUUUACAUUUGCCUGCGCUCCAAUAAUGCGUUCCAGAUCAGCGCCGGCAACUGUGACACUGAGGUAGAUGCUGGCAUUUCCUGGAUAGAAAAAACUCCUUCCU